rnacentral:rRNA from 1 species
CCUACGGGUGGCUGCAGUGGGGAAUAUUGGACAAUGGACGCAAGUCUGACCCAGCGACGCCGCGUGAGGGAAGAAGGCUUUCGGUAUGUAAACCUCUUUUAAGAGGGAAGAGCAGAAGACGGUACCCCUUGAAUAAGCCACGGCUAACUACGUUCCAGCAGCCGCGGUAAUACGUAGGUGGCAAGCGUUGUCCGGAUUUACUGGGUGUAAAGGGCGUGCAGCCGGAGAGACAAGUCAGAUGUGAAAUCCACGGGCUCAACCCGUGAACUGCAUUUGAAACUGUGUCGCUUGAGUGUCGGAGAGGUAAGCGGAAUUCCUGGUGUAGCGGUGAAAUGCGUAGAUAUAAGGAAGAACACCAGUGGCGAAGGCGGAUUACUGGACGAUAACUGACGGUGAGGCGCGAAAGCGUGGGGAGCAAACAGGAUUAGAUACCCCAGUAGUC